rnacentral:misc_RNA from 1 species
AACGCACCUUGCGCCCUUUGGUAUUCCGAAGGGCAUGCCUGUUUGAGUGUCAUUAAAUUAUCAACCUUCUUGCUUUGCUUGCAAAGCAUCUAGGCUUGGAUGUGGGGGUUUUUGCUGGCUUCCUUCAGUGGAUGGUCUGCUCCCCUUAAAUGUAUUAGCGGGAUCUCUUGUGGACCGUCACUUGGUGUGAUAAUUAUCUAUACCACUUGGCCUUGAAGCAAAUCUUAUGAGGACCCGCUCAUAACCGUCCCUUCUGGGACAACUCUUGACAUUUUGACCUCAAAUCAGGUAGGACUACCCGCUGAACUUAA